rnacentral:sRNA from 1 species
AAAUCCAAAACCAAAAAAAAA